rnacentral:rRNA from 1 species
UCAAGUUAUUAAGGGUGCAGGGCGGAUGCCUUGGCACUAGGAGCCGAUGAAGGACGUGAUAAGCUGCGAUAAGCUUCGGGGAGUUGCACGUAAACUUUGAUCCGAAGAUUUCCGAAUGAGGAAACUCACUUAGAGUAAUGUCUAAGUAUCAUUAAGUGAAUACAUAGCUUAAUGAGGGGAACUCAGGGAACUGAAACAUCUAAGUACCUGAAGGAAGAGAAAGAAAUUCGAUUCCGUAAGUAGCGGCGAGCGAACGCGGAUUAGCCCAAACCAAUAAAGUUUUCUUUAUUGGGGUUGCGGACAUAUCAUAACGAAGAGGUAUCGUAAUUGAAGAGGUUUGGAAAGACCCACCACAGAAGGUAAUAGUCCUGUAUGUUAAACGAGAAGACUUCAGAUAUGAUCCAGAGUACCACGGGACACGUGAAACCCUGUGGGAAGCAGGAGGGACCACCCUCCAAGGCUAAAUACUACCUAGUGACCGAUAGCGUAUAGUACCGUGAGGGAAAGGUGAAAAGAACCCCGGGAGGGGAGUGAAAUAGAACCUGAAACCCUGCACUUACAAGCUGUGGAAGCACAUUUCUUGUGUGACCGCGUACUUUUUGUAGAACGGGCCAACGAGUUACGUUAAGUAGCAAGGUUAAGCACUUAAGGUGUGGAGCCGUAGCGAAAGCGAGUUUUAACUGAGCGUUCAGUUACUUGACGUAGACCCGAAACCGGGCGACCUACCCAUGAGCAGGAUGAAGCGAAAGUAAAAUUUCGUGGAGGUCCGAACCCACGAGCGUUGAAAAGCUCGGGGAUGACUUGUGGGUAGCGGUGAAAUUCCAAUCGAGCCCGGAGAUAGCUGGUUCUCCCCGAAAUAGCUUUAGGGCUAGCCUCAAGGUGAGAGAUACGGAGGUAGAGCACUGAAUGUCCUAGGGGGUAUUGCACCUACCGAAGACUAUCAAACUCCGAAUGCCGUCAUCUUAUACUUGGGAGUCAGACUGUGGGUGAUAAGAUUCAUAGUCGAAAGGGCAACAGCCCAGAUCGUCAGCUAAGGUCCCUAAAUGUAAGUUAAGUGGUAAAGGAUGUGGGAUUGCACAGACAACCAGGAUGUUGGCUUAGAAGCAGCCACUCAUUCAAAGAGUGCGUAAUAGCUCACUGGUCGAGUGAUCCUGCGCCGAAGAUUUCCGGGGCUAAAACUUACUACCGAAGCUACGGCAUCAGUAAUGAUGGGUAGGGGAGCUUCCCAUACGGGUUGAAGCAUGACCGUAAGGACAUGUGGACAGUAUGGGAGUGAGAAUGUUGGCAUGAGUAGCGAGAUGUGGGUGAGAAUCCCACAGGCCGUAAACCCAAGGUUUCCAGGGGAAGGUUCGUCCGCCCUGGGUUAGUCGGGACCUAAGCUGAGGCCGAAAGGCGUAGGUGAUGGACAACAGGUUGAUAUUCCUGUACUACCGAUAACCGUUUGAGAGAAGGGAUGACACAGUAGGAUAAGCUAAGCACACUGUUGGUUAUGUGUGCCCAAGCAUUGAGGCAGUCAAAGUAGGCAAAUCCGCUUUGAUAAUGCUGGGAUGUGAUGGGGAGCGAAAUUUAGUAGCGAAGUAGCUGAUUUCACACUGUCAAGAAAAGUCUCUAUCGAGGUUAAAGGUACCCGUACCGCAAACCGACACAGGUGGGUGAGGAGAGUAUCCUAAGGCCAGCGAGAGAACUGUUGUUAAGGAACUCGGCAAAAUGACCCCGUAACUUAGGGAUAAGGGGUGCCACCAUCAGGUGGCCGCAGAGAAUAGGCCCAAGCGACUGUUUACCAAAAACAUAGGUUUCUGCUAAGUCGCAAGACGAUGUAUAGGAGCUGACGCCUGCCCGGUGCUGGAAGGUUAAGGGGAUCUGUUAGAGCAAUCGAAGCAGUGAACUUAAGCCCCAGUAAACGGCGGCCGUAACUAUAACGGUCCUAAGGUAGCGAAAUUCCUUGUCGGGUAAGUUCCGACCCGCACGAAAGGCGUAACGAUUUGGGCACUGUCUCAACAACAGACUCGGUGAAAUUGUAAUUCCGGUGAAGAUGCCGGAUACCUGCGACAGGACGGAAAGACCCCAUGGAGCUUUACUGUAGCUUGACAUUGGGUCUUGGUACUACAUGUACAGGAUAGGUGGGAGGCUUUGAAACCAGGACGCCAGUUUUGGCGGAGCCAUCCUUGGGAUACCACCCUUGUAGUACUGGGACUCUAACCAUAGGCCAUGAAUCUGGUCUUGGGACACUGUCA